rnacentral:rRNA from 1 species
GACGAACGCUGGCGGCGCGCUUAGCGCAUGCAAGUCGAACGGAAAGGCCUGCUUUCCCUUGUGGAUUGCGGGUACUCGAGUGGCGAACGGGUGAGUAACACGUGAGUGAUCUGCCCCCAACUUGGGUAUAAGCCUGGGAAACUGGGUCUAAUUCCCGAUAGGACUGCAGGGUGGUGCCUGUGGUGGAAAACGAUUUUCUAGUGGUUGGGGAUGAGCUCGCGGCCUAUCAGCUUGUUGGUGGGGUAAUGGCCUACCAAGGCGGCGACGGGUAGCCGGCCUGAGAGGGUGGACGGCCACAUUGGGACUGGGAUACGGCCCAGACUCCUACGGGAGGCAGCAGUGGGGAAUAUUGCACAAUGGGCGGAAGCCUGAUGCAGCGACGCCGCGUGGGGGAUGACGGCCUUCGGGUUGUAAACUCCUUUCGACCGCGAGGAAGCCACCUGGUUGGAAGGGUGGUGACGGUAGUGGUAGAAGAAGCACCGGCUAACUACGUG